rnacentral:rRNA from 1 species
GACGAACGCUGGCGGCGUGCUUAACACAUGCAAGUCGAACGGAAAGGCCCUGCUUUUGUGGGGUGCUCGAGUGGCGAACGGGUGAGUAACACGCGAGUAAACUGCCCUUGUCUUUGGGAUAACUUCAGGAAACUGGGGCUAAUACCGGAUAGGAGCUACUGCUGCAUGGUGGGGGAUGGAAAGUUUCGGCGGUUGGGGAUGGACUCGCGGCUUAUGAGCUUGUUGGUGGGGUUGUGCAUACCAAGGCUUUGCCGGGUAGCCGUCCUUAGAGGUGGACCGGGCACAAGAGGCCUGAGAGAGGGACCAGAAGCCUACGUGAGGCAGCAGUGGAGAGUAUGACGGAAUGGGCGGAAGCGUGAUGCAGCAACGCUGCGUGCGGGAUGCCGGCCUUCGGGUUGUAAACCGCUUUCGCCUGUGACGAAGCGUGAGUGACGGUAAUGGGUAAAGAAGCACCGGCUAACUACGUG